rnacentral:RNase_MRP_RNA from 1 species
CUUUGGGAAAUUCCCCGGACGCAAGGACAGAGAUUGUCAACCCGGGAACGGGUGCCGGCGAGGGAGCUACUCUGGCAACGACGGCCCUUGUUGGCAAGAGCGUGAGAGUCGGCCCCUCGUCGCCGUCAGAGCAAAGUUAUGCCAUCCAUGACACAACGGGGAUUACU